AUUGAACGCUGGCGGCAGGCCUAACACAUGCAAGUCGAACGAGUGGCGGACGGGUGAGUAAUGUCUGGGAACCUGCCCGAUGGAGGGGGAUAACUACUGGAAACGGUAGCUAAUACCGCAUACCAUCAGAUGUGCCCAGAUGGGCUUAUCUAGUUGUGAGGGGAACGUCUCACCAAGGCGACGAUCCCUAGCUGGUCUGAGAGGAUGACCAGCCACACUGGAACUGAGACACGGUCCAGACUCCGACGGGAGGCAGCAGUGGGGAACAUUGCACAAUGGGCGCAAGCCUGAUGCAGCCAUGCCGAGUGGAUGAAGAAGGCCUUCGGGUUGUAAAGUACUUGCAGCGGGGAGGCGUUACCCGCAGAAGAAGCACCGGCUAACUCCGUGCCAGCAGCCGCGGUAAUAC
rnacentral:rRNA from 1 species